GACGAACGCUGGCGGCGUGCCUAAUACAUGCAAGUCGAACGCAUUUUCUUUCACCGUAGCUUGCUACACCGAAAGAAAAUGAGUGGCGAACGGGUGAGUAACACGUGGGUAACCUGCCCAUCAGCGGGGGAUAACACUUGGAAACAGGUGCUAAUACCGCAUAAUUCCAUUUACUGCAUGGUAGAUGGAUGAAGGGCGCUUUUGCGUCACUGAUGGAUGGACCCGCGGUGCAUUAGCUAGUUGGUGGGGUAACGGCCUACCAAGGCUGCGAUGCAUAGCCGACCUGAGAGGGUGAUCGGCCACACUGGGACUGAGACACGGCCCAGACUCCUACGGGAGGCAGCAGUAGGGAAUCUUCGGCAAUAGACGCAAGUCUGACCGAGCAACGCCGCGUGAGUGAAGAAGGUUUUCGGAUCGUAAAACUCUGUUGUUAGAAAAGAACAAGGAUGAGAGUGGAAAGUUCAUCCCUUGACGGUAUCUAACCAGAAAGCCACGGCUAACUACGUG
rnacentral:rRNA from 1 species